GACGAACGCUGGCGGCGUGCUUAACACAUGCAAGUCGAACGGAAAGGCCCUGCUUUUGUGGGGUGCUCGAGUGGCGAACGGGUGAGUAACACGUGAGUAACCUGCACUUGACUUUGGGAUAACUUCAGGAAACUGGGGCUAAUACCGGAUAGGAGCUCCUGCUGCAUGGUGGGGGUUGGAAAGUUUCGGCGGUGGGGGAUGGACUAGCGGCUUACCAGCUUGUUGGGGGGGUAGUGACUGACCAAGGCUAUGACGGGUACCCGGCCUGAGCGGCUGACGGGCCACACUGGGACUGAGAUGCGGCCCAGACUCCUACGGGAGCCAGCAGUGGGGAAUAUUGCCCAAUGGGCGGAAGCCUGAUGCAGCAACGCCGCGUGCGGGAUGACGGCCUUAGGGUUGUAAACCGCUUUCGCCUGUGACGAAGCGUGAGUGACGGUAAUGGGUAAAGAAGCCCCGGCUAACUACGUG
rnacentral:rRNA from 1 species